ACUUUCUAAUGAUAUAGCUUGUUAUCUUUAUUGAUAUUUUAGAUAGUAAGAUAGAUAGCUCCUGCUAACAUGGUCACGUCGAGCUAGGCGGGCGUGGUUUCAGCAACCAGUCACAUGGGCUACUACCACGUCCCACCUCUUUGUCCAUUUUCAGUUAUCCAGGAGUGAUGUGCAGUCAUGUGCUGCUAAGAUGGCCUCAUUUUUGGAAAUGGGUCUGUCUGCGGACUGCAAGAGGGGGGCGUAACAAGAAAGGGGCGUAACUUGUUGAGGGGGCGUAACUUGAAGUUGUCCAAAUCACACAGUACCACAAGAGAUGUCAACAUGGCAAGAUGGCUGCUCGUAAUGAGACAACGCUUCAUCCAACAGUUUGUAGGGAAGGUAUAUUAAAAAAUCCAAUUUCUGAAGGCCCAUACUACAAAUGCCAGUUCUGCAGCAAAAUGGGAGAGUAUGCAUAUGUUGUGGCACAUAUGCAAACCCACGAGAAGACAGCUGUUAAACACGGAGAAAUGUGGGUUGGCUGACGCCUCAACAGGUCCCUGUGUCUCUGCAAACACCAGCAUCUGUGCACCCUCCAGCGCCUGUGCACUACUAUCCAGUGCACCCUCCAGUACACCCUCCAGCGCCUGUGUAGUAUUAGUAGUAAUUGUCUGGUGAAUUUUGUAGGCAGGUUAAGACAUUAGAUAUUUAAAAUUUACUGUAAAAGGAAUACCAGUGUUUUGUUUAAUAAAAAAUAUAAGAAUAAUAAUAGCAUGAAUAUUCAACGAAUAGGAACAGGUAGUUUAACACUGGAUUUAGAUUUUUAAAAAUGUACUGUAAGGGAAUAUUUUUUGUUUAAAAAGCUAUUACAAUUAUGAAAAUUGCAUGUUUUUGGUGAGUUCAUAAUGUAAUAAAUUUCUCAUAAUGUAAUCAUUACAUUGAGCAAGAUUUUAUUAGGUUUUGAGA